rnacentral:rRNA from 1 species
CAGUGACGCAGUUAACGCAGUAAGCAUACCACCUGGGGAGUACGUUCGCAAGAAUGAAACUCAAAGGAAUUGACGGGGGCCCGCACAAGCGGUGGAGCAUGUGGCUUAAUUCGAUGCAACGCGAAGAACCUUACCCGGGCUAAAUCUGCCCUGACCGGCCCCGAAACGGGCCUUCUCUUCGGAGCAGGAUGGAAGGUGCUGCAUGGCUGUCGUCAGCUCGUGCCGUGAGGUGUUGCCUUAAGUGGCGCAACGAGCGCAACCCCUGUGGUUAGUUACCAGCACGUAAUGGUGGGGACUCUAGCCAGACUGCCUACGCAAGUAGUGAGGAAGGUGGGGACGACGUCAAGUCAUCAUGGCCCUUAUGUCCGGGGCUGCACACGUGCUACAAUGGACGGUACAACGGGAAGCCACCCAGCGAUGGGGAGCAGAUCCGCAAAGCCGUUCCCAGUUCGGAUUGGAGUCUGCAACUCGACUCCAUGAAGGUGGAAUCGCUAGUAAUCGCGUAUCAGCAACGACGCGGUGAAUACGUUCCCGGGCCUUGUACACACCGCCCGUCAAGCGAUGGAAGUCAGAAGUACCUGACGUCGCCGUGCUAACCUUCGGGGAGCAGGCGCCUAGGGUAAGUCUGGUAACUGGCGCUAAGUCGUAACAAGGUAACCAAGGGCGAA